AUAAUACUCCAUAGAUUAGAGACACUGGAAUGUUCUUUAGUCGAAAGUUCUGGCGCCUUAGGAUGGAUCUGCGGUCGAUUAGGUUGUUGUUGGGGUAACGGCCCAACAAGCCUGUAAUCGAUACGGGUUGUGGGAGCAAGAGCCCGGAGAUGGAAUCUGAGACACGAUUCCAGGCCCUACGGGGCGCAGCAGGCGCGAAAACUUUACAAUGCAGGAAACUGUGAUAAGGGAACUCCGAGUGCCCGUAUACGCGGGCUGUCCAGGUGUUUAAAAAUCAUCUGAGGAAAGGGCCGGGCAAGACCGGUGCCAGCCGCCGCGGUAAUACCGGCGGCUCGAGUGGUGGCCACUAUUAUUGGGCUUAAAGCGUCCGUAGCUGGACCGAUAAGUCUCUUGGGAAAUCCGCCGGCUCAACCGGCGGGCGUCUAAGGGAUACUGUUAGUCUAGGGACCGGGAGAGGUGAGAGGUACUCCGGGGGUAGGAGUGAAAUCCUGUAAUCCCCGGGGGACCACCGAUGGCGAAGGCAUCUCACCAGAACGGCUCCGACAGUGAGGGACGAAAGCUGGGGGAGCGAACCGGAUUAGAUACCCGGGUAGUCCCAGCCGUAAACUAUGCGCGUUAUGUGU
rnacentral:rRNA from 1 species